rnacentral:rRNA from 1 species
UACAGAGGGGGCAAGCGUUAUUCGGAAUUAUUGGGCGUAAAGAGCGUGUAGGCGGCCAGGUAGGUCUGGUGUGAAAACUCGAGGCUUAACCUCGGAGAUGUCAUCGGAAACCAUCUGGCUAGAGUCCGGAAGAGGGAGAGGUGGAAUUCCGUGGUGUAGCGGUGAAAUGACGCAGAUAUCAGGAAGAACACCAAUGGCGAAAGCAGCUCUCUGGGACGGUACUGACGCUGAGACGCGAAAGCGUGGGGAGCGAACAGG